GGGCGAUUAGCUCAGUCGGUUAGAGCGCACCCCGGAUAAGGGUGAGGUGCCUGGUUCGACUCCAGGAUCGCCCACCA
rnacentral:tRNA from 1 species